rnacentral:rRNA from 1 species
CCUACGGGACGCUGCAGUGAGGAAUAUUGGUCAAUGGACGAGAGUCUGAACCAGCCAAGUAGCGUGAAGGAUGACUGCCCUAUGGGUUGUAAACUUCUUUUAUAAAGGAAUAAAACGAGGCACGUGUGCCUUUUUGCAUGUACUUGAUGAAUAAGGAUCGGCUAACUCCGUGCCAGCAGCCGCGGUAAUACGGAGGAUGCGAGCGUUAUCCGGAUUUAUUGGGUUUAAAGGGAGCGUAGAUGGGUUGUUAAGUCAGUUGUGAAAGUUUGCGGCUCAACCGUAAAAUUGCAAUUGAUACUGGCAGUCUUGAGUACAGUUGAGGUAGGCGGAAUGCGUGGUGUAGCGGUGAAAUGCUUAGAUAUCACGAAGAACCCCGAUUGCGAAGGCAGCUUACUAAACUUUGACUGACAUUGAUGCUCGAAAGUGUGGGUAUCGAACAGGAUUAGAUACCCCAGUAGUC